ACUGGAGGCAGUUUGGUGGACGUCGGCAUGGUUACCUGGAGGCAAAGAUGAGGAAAGGAAACGUUCAUUUAUUCGAAGCAGGGUUACGGUUCUGCUGGUAGGCAUCGUACAGUAUCCGCUGCGAUGCCGGCCCCCACUUGAACCGAUUCCUUCGCAUCUUCUUGUUCCUCGUAUCGCCUCGAUCAUCUGCCAAGAUGGAUUUCUCUGGGUUUGUGAAUUCUGUCAAUGAGAGAUCAUUACCCAGCCGUACAGCAUAGCUCUCUUGAUCCCCUUCAUGGGCGUGCCUUUGUUGAGAUGCUGGGACAGGUGGCUCUGGUUCAGUCC